rnacentral:sRNA from 1 species
UCAUUAUUGAAUAAACUUGAACAGGCUGUUGCUGGCCCUCCUUGGAGGGAUACGUGCACGCUUGUCAUCUUUAUUUCUCCAACUGUGCACAUAUUGUAGACCUGAGAGAGAGAUGUUUGAUUUAUUUUCGAGUUGGGGACUGCUGUGCUAUCUCAAGUCGGCUUUCCCUUGUAUUUUUCGGGUCUAUGUCAUUUUCACAAACCUAUGAAUCUGUUUAGAAUGUCGAAUCAGGUCAUUUUGUACCUAUAAAGUUAAAUAUACAACUUUCAGCAACGGAUCUCUUGGCUCUCGCAUCGAUGAAGAACGCAGCGAAAUGCGAUAAGUAAUGUGAAUUGCAGAAUUCAGUGAAUCAUCGAAUCUUUGAACGCAUCUUGCGCUCCCUGGUAUUCCGAGGAGCAUGCCUGUUUGAGUGUCAUCUAAAUCCUCAAACCAUAUUGAUUCGUGGGGAUGUGGCUUGGAUGUGGGGGUAUAAUGCAGGCUUUACCUAAAAAUGAAGUCUGCUCCCCUGAAAUGCAUUAGUGGUAUCUGAGCAGAAGAACUACUACAGGUGUGAUAAUUUAUCUAUGCCUUGGUAAUGCUGCAUAAACAGAUUGCGCUGCUUACAACAAACUUAAAUUUAUUUUGGAGACCUCAAAUCAGGUAGGACUACCCGCUGAACUUAAGCAUAUCAAUAGCCGGAGGGAA